UCUCCGUUGGUGAACCAGCGGAGGGAUCAUUACCGAGUUUACAACUCCCAAACCCCAUGUGAACAUACCUGUUUCGUUCCCUCGGCGGUGUCCGGCAACGGCCCGCCAGAGGACCUACCUAAAACCCUUUGCAAUACCUGCAGUACUGUCUGAUAGCGAAAGCAAUUUAAAUCAAAACUUUCAACAACGGAUCUCUUGGUUCUGGCAUCGAUGAAGAACGCAGC
rnacentral:misc_RNA from 1 species